UACAGAGGUGGCAAGCGUUGUUCGGAAUUACUGGGCGUAAAGGGCGCGUAGGCGGCCUUCUAAGUCGAACGUGAAAUCCCCGGGCUCAACCCGGGAACUGCGUCCGAUACUGGAAGGCUUGAAUCCGGGAGAGGGAUGCGGAAUUCCAGGUGUAGCGGUGAAAUGCGUAGAUAUCUGGAGGAACACCGGUGGCGAAGGCGGCAUCCUGGACCGGCAUUGACGCUGAGGCGCGAAAGCCAGGGGAGCAAACGGG
rnacentral:rRNA from 1 species